CUACGGAGGGUCCGAGCGUUAUCCGGAAUCAUUGGGUUUAAAGGGUCCGUAGGCGGGAAUCUAAGUCAGUGGUGAAAUCUUGCAGCUCAACUGUAAAAUUGCCAUUGAUACUGGAUUUCUUGAAUUAGUGUGAAGUGGUUAGAAUGCGUAGUGUAGCGGUGAAAUGCAUAGAUAUUACACAGAAUACCAAUUGCGAAGGCAGAUCACUAACACUAUAUUGACGCUAAGGGACGAAAGCGUGGGGAGCGAACAGGAUUAGAAACCCGGGUAGUCC
rnacentral:rRNA from 1 species